rnacentral:rRNA from 1 species
CCUACGGGAUGCAGCAGUGGGGAAUAUUGCACAAUGGGCGCAAGCCUGAUGCAGCCAUGCCGCGUGUAUGAAGAAGGCCUUCGGGUUGUAAAGUACUUUCAGUGGGGAGGAAGGCGACAAGGUUAAUAACCUUGUCGAUUGACGUUACCCGCAGAAGAAGCACCGGCUAACUCCGUGCCAGCAGCCGCGGUAAUACGGAGGGUGCAAGCGUUAAUCGGAAUUACUGGGCGUAAAGCGCACGCAGGCGGUCUGUUAAGUCAGAUGUGAAAGCCCGGGGCUUAACCUCGGAAUUGCAUUUGAAACUGGCAGGCUAGAGUCUUGUAGAGGGGGGUAGAAUUUCAGGUGUAGCGGUGAAAUGCGUAGAGAUCUGAAGGAAUACCAGUGGCGAAGGCGGCCCCCUGGACAAAGACUGACGCUCAGAUGCGAAAGCGUGGGGAGCAAACAGGAUUAGAUACCCGCGUAGUC